rnacentral:rRNA from 1 species
CAAGCGGUGGAGCAUGUGGUUUAAUUCGAUGCAACGCGAAAAACCUUACCUGGUCUUGACAUCCACGGAAUUUUUCAAAGAUGAAAAUGUGCCUUCGGGAACCGUGAGACAGGUGCUGCAUGGCUGUCGUCAGCUCGUGUUGUGAAAUGUUGGGUUAAGUCCCGCAACGAGCGCAACCCUUAUCCUUUGUUGCCAGCGGUCCGGCCGGGAACUCAAAGGAGACUGCCAGUGAUAAACUGGAGGAAGGGGGGGAUGACGUCAAGUCAUCAUGGCCCUUACGACCAGGGCUACACACGUGCUACAAUGGCGCAUACAAAGAGAAGCGACCUCGCGAGAGCAAGCGGACCUCAUAAAGUGCGUCGUAUUCCGGAUUGGAGUCUGCAACUCGACUCCAUGAAGUCGGAAUCGCUAGUAAUCGUGGAUCAGAAUGCCACGGUGAAUACUUUCCCGGGUCUUGUACACACC